GUAAAAGACCGAAGAUGCGUUCGUCCACUACCUCUAUCGUACUCCAGAGCAACGACCUACCAUAAAUAUUGGUGCAAAUCAUGAAUAGAGUGAAGAAGAGAUAACUGCGCCCGAAUUAUUUUUCUUCUGCAGCACUGCUUUUCCUGUCGCCAAUGUUUACGGGUUGGAUUACAGCGUUCAAAUUAUGAUGGGUCAGAGCGAUUUGAAUCGCUGCUGCUUUGUCGAGCAGGGUGUGCAAUUCAGAUUGUGCCCUUAUUUAUUUUGUUUUGUUCUCGUUUUACAAUACACAGUUUUGGGCGAGAACGGAGACGCGCUGUGGCGUAGCGACCAGCCGCGCGUCCUUAACAACUUGGAUCGCUACGAGAUUACUUAUCCUCAGUGGUUGAAUCCGGCGCGACACAAGAUAUCCCACUGGAACAUAAAGUAUCCUUCGGAGGCAGAAGUCAAGAUUGCUGUGGGAGGAGUGGAGUUGGUUCUCCAGCUACAGAGAAAUGAGUGAGUGUCUGCUGGGUGUGCACUUACAUUCACAGCUAUUGCAGUUCAGUCUCACUAU
ensembl:lncRNA